UAAAAUGUCGGCGAGCGGCGGACGGCUGAGUAACGCGUGGGAAGUACCCCAAAGUGAGGGAUAACGCAUCGAAAGGUGUGCUAAUACCGCAUAUGAUCUUCGGAUUAAAGCCUUCGGGCGCUUUGGGAACGGCCUGCGUAAGAUUAGAUAGUUGGUGGGGUAAUGGCCUACCAAGUCAACGAUCUUUAACUGGUUUGAGAGGAUGAUCAGUCAGACUGGAACUGAGACACGGUCCAG
rnacentral:rRNA from 1 species